rnacentral:rRNA from 1 species
AGAGUUUGAUCCUGGCUCAGGAUGAACGCUAGCGGCAGGCUUAACACAUGCAAGUCGAGGGGCAGCAUGUCCAGCAAUGGAUGAUGGCGACCGGCGGAAGGGUGCGUAACGCGUGAGCAACAUGCCCUAUACAGGGAGAUACACCAGGGAAACUUGGUCUAAUAUCCCAUAGCAUUCAUUGAAGGCAUCUUUAAUGAAUUAAAGCUUCGGUGGUAUAGGAUUGGCUCGCGUGACAUUAGCCAGAUGGUGAGGUAACGGCUCACCAUAGCAAUGAUGUCUAGGGGUUUUGAGAGGAAGGCCCCCCACACUGGGACUGAGACACGGCCCAGACUCCUACGGGAGGCAGCAGUGAGGAAUAUUGGACAAUGGAUGGAAAUCUGAUCCAGCCAUGCCGCGUGCAGGAAGACGGCCUUAUGGGUUGUAAACUGCUUUUAUACGGGAGCAAUAAGGGUUACGAGUAAUCCGAUGAGAGUACUGUAUGAAUAAGGAUCGGCUAACUCCGUGCCAGCAGCCGCGGUAAUACGGAGGAUCCUAGCGUUAUUCGGAUUUAUUGGGUUUAAAGGGAGCGUAGGCGGGGGGUCAAGUCAGCUGUGAAAUACGUACGCUUAACGUUCGUCUUGCAGUUGAAACUGGUUUUCUUGAGUGCGUAUGAGGCAGGCGGAAUUCGUGGUGUAGCGGUGAAAUGCAUAGAUAUACCACAGAACACCGAUUGCGAAGGCAGCUUACUAAACUGUCACUGACGCUGAUGCACGAAAGCGUGGGUAUCAAACAGGAUUAGAUACCCUGGUAGUCCACGCUGUAAACGAUGAUUACUGGUUGUUUGCGAUACACUGCAAGUGACUGAGCGAAAGCAUUAAGUAAUCCACCUGGGGAGUACGUCGGCAACGAUGAAACUCAAAGGAAUUGACGGGGGCCCGCACAAGCGGAGGAACAUGUGGUUUAAUUCGAUGAUACGCGAGGAACCUUACCUGGGUUUAAAUGGGGAGUGACAGGCUUGGAAACAGGCCCUUCUUCGGACACUCUUCAAGGUGCUGCAUGGUUGUCGUCAGCUCGUGCCGUGAGGUGUCGGGUUAAGUCCCAUAACGAGCGCAACCCCUAUCGAUAGUUACCAGCACGUUACGGUGGGGACUCUAUCGAGACUGCCGGUGUAAACCGUGAGGAGGGUGGGGAUGACGUCAAAUCAGCACGGCCCUUACAUCCAGGGCUACACACGUGUUACAAUGGCCGGUACAAAGGGCAGCUACACAGCGAUGUGAUGCUAAUCUCCAAAUCCGGUCUCAGUUCGGAUCGAAGUCUGCAACCCGACUUCGUGAAGCUGGAUUCGCUAGUAAUCGCGCAUCAGCCAUGGCGCGGUGAAUACGUUCCCGGGCCUUGUACACACCGCCCGUCA